rnacentral:piRNA from 1 species
UAUGAGUUGUUGUGGUCAUGAUGUCUCAC